GUAAAUUAAAUAUGGUUUUGUUGAGUUACUUUGUAGAUGAUUUAGUCUAGUAUUCUAACAAUCGUUGCCUAACCAUUUUAAUGCGAAAAUAUAUGAGAAAAUUAGAAAAAGUGUCCAUGAUUUUUCUGUAAACAUUGUUGUUGUUUUUUCGCGAUAAAUUUUCAAUCCGUUUACAUGACAUAUUAACAUUUAAACCAUAUAGUUCAAUUAACAUAUGUUUCAAGUAUUUAACUAAAAAAAACAAUCGUCGAGGUAGUUGGUGUGGCAUACAUUCGUUAUCAAAAUACCGACGUUGUCGUCAAAACACAUCCGUUUUGUAUAUAUAUAUGAUGAUACAUUUAACAGUUUUCAUUUUCGUUCGGACAAUAUCUGAUCUGAUAUACGAACGCCGACAGUAGAAUGUUAAAGUGUUUUGUUUUUAUGUUGUACCUCGGUACGGGAAGAUCAGCACCGCUGGAUACACAGGAUAUCUUGCAAAAGAUCGAUCAGCUAACAGCAAUCAGUGACCAGCUAACUGCAAGAAUGACGGCACUUAAAAUCAACAAAGGUGCAAUUUUCGAGGAGAGACCAGUUGCCUUUUACGCUACCUUGGUAAACACAAUAGAACAUGUGGGAGAUCAUCAACACAUCGUAUUCGACCACGUGAUAACAAACAUUGGAGACGGGUACAGUCCAGAGCACGGGCAUUUCACCGCACCAGUCCGAGGGGCAUAAUCAUUCAUUGUUGUUUUUACCAAUACACCAAGCAAGCACCCAACUGCUACGAAAUGGCCAAUGGUUGGGAAGUGUUCUAGCCGAUGACGAAUCAAAUGUCGCCUUUACGACAUCAACGAUCGCCGUCACGAUGCAGCUUGAAGCUGGAGACCAGGGUUGGGUACAAAAUGAGUAUAAGUUUUCGGACCAAGAACAAAUAGAUGGUUACGACGGUUGGACGAGCUUUUCUGGUCAUCUUAUCCAGCAGAACUGAGUAUAUGCUUUCGGAAAUGUAUUCCCAACACGAAACUUUGACAAUUAUUACCCGAACGCUCAAUGCAUUUGUUUUUUGUCGAUUGUUUUGCCAUAUCCAUGCUUCUACAACAGUUAACAAUAUGAAAAAUAAACUUAAUUAAAUCGCAGGAUUUGAAUUGUUAAACCAUGACCUAAGUUUCAUGUUUUUCUUUUAUGUAAGCGUGAAAUGUAUAUUCGAAGUUGACAAAAACCUGCAAACAAGUUGUUUUAUGUCUGGAUAUAUGUGUAUUAUAACUAACAAGAAAUUAUUGCAAAUGAGUUAGCACGUGUAUUAAAUGAAAUUUGUGCUAAUUGUAUUGCUUUUUACAAUAAUUUUGCGAAAGUAACAA